rnacentral:tRNA from 1 species
AUUUAAAUAGUUUAAUAAAAAUAUUGAUUUGUGGUGUCAAGGAUAAGAAAUUUCUUUUUAAAUU